ACCAGGCAGAGGAAGAGAAGUGUCUUUCAAUUCUAAGACAUGUUUUUCUGCUUAUGUCAAGAUACCAACUUGUGGAUAGCAGAACAGAAGCAGACAAACCUCAGAGGAGGCUUCUGAGAUCUGAACUUGCGGCUCCAGCUUCCUUGCACAGAAGAGAGACGCCGGGGAGAGGCAGGCCAGCCAGCCCAGAGCAGGCCCGAGACGCAGCGAGGACAGCAGGGAAAGGAGAAAAAGCAGCCUCACAAAGGGAACAAGAGCACCUUUCGUCGGCUUUUCCCCUCGUCCCUGUGGGUGAAGGGAUUCCAGCUACCCCCCGUUUGGUGUUGCCUGAUUCACACUGAUUUUUGUUCAAAUAAACUCUGACAAAAAAUUUUUUUAAAUCCACACACACAC
rnacentral:lncRNA from 1 species